AUCCAAAGGACGAGUCCAAAAUAGGACGGAACGUGCGUUCUGGAU
rnacentral:hammerhead_ribozyme from 1 species